UACGUAGGUGGCAAGCGUUGUCCGGAUUUACUGGGCGUAAAGAGCGCGCAGGCGGUCGGAUAAGUCGAAUGUGAAAGCCCCCGGCUCAACUGGGGAGGGUCAUUCGAUACUGUUCGACUCGAAGGCAGGAGAGGGAAGUGGAAUUCCCGGUGUAGUGGUGAAAUGCGUAGAUAUCGGGAGGAACACCAGUGGCGAAGGCGGCUCACUGGACUGGUACUGACGCUGAUGCGCGAAAGCGUGGGGAGCAAACAGG
rnacentral:rRNA from 1 species